UACGUAGGGUGCAAGCGUUGUCCGGAAUUAUUGGGCGUAAAGAGCUCGUAGGCGGCUUGUCACGUCGACUGUGAAAACCCGGGGCUCAACUCCGGGCCUGCAGUCGAUAGGGGCUGGCUUGAGUGCGGUAGGGGAGACUGGAAUUCCUGGUGUAGCGGUGAAGUGCGCAGAUAUCAGGAGGAACACCGGUGGCGAAGGCGGGUCUCUGGGCCGUAACUGACGCUGAGGAGCGAAAGCGUGGGGAGCGAACAGG
rnacentral:rRNA from 1 species